rnacentral:lncRNA from 1 species
UCUGAAGGCUUCAGAGAAGGAUUGUUCCUUGCCUCUUUGUAGCUUCUGGUGGCUUCCGGCAGUCCUUGGGGUUCCUUGGCAUAUAGGAGCUACAUCACCCAAUCUCUACUCUGUUGUCACAUGGUCUUCCCAGAGUAUGUCAGUGUCUGUGUCUGUAUCCUCAUAUGGCCUUCCUAUAAGGAUGUUAGCCAUUGGAAUCAGAGUCCACCCUAAUCCGGGAUGCCCUCAUCCUAACUGAUUACAUCUGCGAAGACUCUAUUUCCAAACAAAGUCACAUUCUGAAGAUGUGGGUAGACCUGAAACUUUGUAGGGAUACUAUUGAAUCCAGUACACUAGUGUACAGAACCAUUGCAAGGACUAAAUAAUAUAUCUUCUGUAAAUUACUUAGCCUGGUUGCUGGUACAUAGCAGAUGCUCAAUGAAUGUUAGUUCUCUUCCAUCCUUUCCAGCCCCCAGCCCUGUGGCCUCCCCACUUGGCCGCUGAACUCCUCCAGAUCUGAACUUAUUCUGUUUCCACCCAGUCAGCAUCUUCAUCCUUCUGCAACUGUUCUGGUAACAAAAUAGAAUAUUUCCAAUAUUUUAGAAUCCUCCUGUGUGCCUCUCUCCAAUCAUGCCAGCAACCACCAGAUAAGAAUUGGCUCAUGUGAUUAUGGAAGUUGACGAGUCCAAAAUCUGCAUCAUAAGACAGCAGACCAGAGACCCAAGGAAUAAUUGAUGCCACAGUUCAAGUCUGAAGGCUGUCAGGCUGGAGAUCAGGGAAGAGUUGCAGUUUGAGUGCAAAGGAAGUCCACUGGCAGAAUUCCCUCUCGCUCAGGGGAGACCCAUGGAUCCUGGCUAUGAGAGAAACAGAACCAUGUAUUGGAAACUGAUUCAGAGCACACGUGGCCUCUUGGAGAACCUUGCCUCAGUCCCAAAAGGAAUUGCCACCUAGCUGGUGCUGUAACAGUCUUCAAAAGGCCAGUCUACCAUUCUCUUAAGCCAGCUGCUGCAGCAUGGUGGGGAACGUGUCUUCCUGAAGGAUGCCCCAGGAACCCUGAAGAAUGAAUCAAAACAUGCUUUCAGAUGCCUGUCGGUUGACUCCAGCUGAAUAGACUUCAUGGAAUAGUCCACAAGAUAGGAGGAUGGAAAAUAGUGCAGAAGCAAGACGGAUGGAGAAAACAGGAGCCAUGGCUCCUUAUACACUAGGUGGAGCAAGCGGGAGUCUUGGCCAGGCUGUAGGUGGUUACAGCCUCGCUUGAGGGGCAAGCAACUCCAAAUAGGUGUUCAGGAAUGGCUAGAGAUGAGGAGGAGGUAGAAGUUUCCAAAGGAUACCAGAUACGUUGGGCAGUCCUUUCACUUGGCACUAGACCCCCAUUAGUGCAUUGCUCACUAUGGGUAGGGAAUAAAAGUUUGAUGAAUUAAAGUUUUUCGUGAACUAUUUUGGAUCUGAGAAGGGACUGAAUCUAACCCAAACCCUCAACUAAUCAACAUAGUUUUUCAGGUAUGUUACUUUUAAAAAGAAGUAGGAAAUAGUCACAAAAUAAGCUUUUAAGAAACUUGUUCAAUAAAAAAAUGCAAAUUUCUCACUUUAUCUUGGAGCCAGUCUACAUUCACUGCAAUGUCUUCGAAGAAUUUGCAUCUGCAUGGUCAAUGCUGUAAAAUACAUUGAGUUUACAGUCACGCCCUGACUCCUGGGAGAUAAAAUCUCUGUAUUUAAAAUGACAGCCCUGACUCAGGUAAGAACUUCAAACAGUAAAAAUUAAUUCAGUUAGGUUUGCAAGAGAGAGAUCAACUUACUAGAAACAUGAAUGGAUAACACAAAAUCAUUUCUGAUUUAUUCUCCUGUUUACUAGAAAAUUCAGUUAACAAGAAAAGCCGGCACCCUGUGGGGUCUUGUUAAAGUUUCAUUAGCUGGAUCUAACAGAGAAGUGAAAGGAGUCUUUGAAAGAACUUUUUCCUUGAGGCAACUUUGCAUGUAACAGAAAGUGCUGAAGAAAUACCCUUCUUAAGGGAAAAAAAUCUUUCUUCUUUGGAUUAAUGACCUAAGGACAGGUUGGAAAUAAAAAUGGUAAAAUAUCACCCAGAAACAGAGAAAGCAGGACAAGGAAACAUAGACAAUUGCUUUAUUUAUGAAAUGAAUUUUUGAAAAUCAUUGAGUAGAGCAUGAAGAAAGGCAUUCGGUUUUGGAACUAAACAGUUUAACAUUCAGUGUUGGGAAUUAUGUAUGUACACAUCGCAUUUCUUAGAGAAAUCUCAAGCAUAUUUUCAUUAAGCUUACUUAUAUGGAAUAGAUAAUAUAAAUAGCAAUAAUAACCACAAUAAUUUAUUCAGCGCGUAUUUUGAUUUUUAUGAUUUUGCUUUGAUUUUUUAUAAUUUUAUGAUUUCUUAAAAUACAUGUGUAGGUAUU